UACAGACAAAGAUAUAUUAUAAUAAAUGUCUUAAUAGAGUGUGAAUAUAAAGCGACUUCCAGACGUUUCCAAAGAAAUAUCAGAUAAAUGUUCAAUUUAUAUUUUGAAAGCAACGUUUUAAAGAAUAUAUGGUUUUUCGAACAUAAAGCUAAAAAUUAAUUAUGGCUGGAAAUUUUUGCAAGCCGCUGUGAAACGAACGAAGAUAAAAUAAAGGUUACCUCGGCCUCGAUCGAAGCGAUCUUUUCCAAUAUGGUACUCAUAUUGAUAGAAAACGAAAACCUCUUUUAACUUGCGAUAUAAUUUAAGUUAAGUAAAUUUCUUUUAAGCCCUUUCACGUUCUUCCAUUACAAAAUUAUCGAAAUACAUAUAUAUAUGUAUAUAUAUAUAUAUAUAUAUAUAUAUAUGUUACUGCAUAAGUCUUCCACGUGCUGACAGGUUAAAACACAUGUUUCAC
rnacentral:misc_RNA from 1 species